rnacentral:tRNA from 6 species
GCGCCCGUGGCUCAAAGGAUAGAGCACUUGGCUUCGGACCAAGGGGUUGGGGGUUCGAGUCCCUCCGGGCGCACCA